GACGAACGCUGGCGGCGUGCCUAACACAUGCAAGUCGAGCGGGGAUUUAAGUGGAAGUUCUUCGGAAUGGAGAUUUAAAUUCUAGCGGCGGACGGGUGAGUAGCGCGUGAACAAUCUGUCCCGGACAGGGGGAUAACACUUGGAAACAGGUGCUAAUACCGCAUAAGACCACGGCCUCGCAUGGGGCUGAGGUAAAAGGAGCAAUCCGGUUCGGGGUGAGUUCGCGUCCGAUUAGCUAGUUGGUGAGGUAACGGCCCACCAAGGCGACGAUCGGUAGCCGGCCUGAGAGGGUGAACGGCCACAUUGGAACUGAGAGACGGUCCAAACUCCUACGGGAGGCAGCAGUGGGGAAUAUUGGGCAAUGGGCGAAAGCCUGACCCAGCAACGCCGCGUGAGGGAAGAAGGUUUUCGGAUUGUAAACCUCUGUCCUAUGGGACGAAGGAAGUGACGGUACCAUAGGAGGAAGCCCCGGCUAACUACGUG
rnacentral:rRNA from 1 species